UUGCAGUACAAUGAGCUCCCUAGAGACAGUGCUGGGGCAAGUGAGAACCGGACGGGCACUGGGCGACUCUGUGCCUCGCGGAGGAAAAAUAAUCAUGGGCAAAGGAGAUCCUAAGAGGCCGAGAGGCAAAAUGUCAUCAUAUGCAUUCUUUGUGCAAACUUGCCGGGAGGAGCACAAGAAGAAGCACCCGGAUGCUUCAGUCAACUUCUCAGAGUUUUCUAAGAAGUGCUCAGAGAGGUGGAAGACCAUGUCUGCUAAAGAGAAAGGAAAAUUUGAAGACAUGGCAAAGGUGGACAAGGCCCGUUAUGAAAGAGAAACGAAAACUUAUAUCCCUGCUAAAGGGGAAACAAAAAAGAAGUUCAAGGAUCCCAAUGCACCCAACAGGCCUCCUUCGGCCUUUUUCUUGUUUUGUUCUGAGUAUCGACCAAAAAUCAAAGGUGAACAUCCUGGCCUGUCCAUUGGCGAUGUUGCAAAGAAACUGGGAGAGAUGUGGAAUAACACUGCUGUGGAUGACAAGCAGCCUUAUGAGAAGAAGGCUGCUAAGCUGAAGGAAAAAUAUGAACAGGAUAUUGCUGCAUAUCAAGCUAAAGGGAAGCCUGAUGCAGCAAAAAAGGGAGUUUUCAAGGCUGAAAAAAGCAAGAAAAAGAAGGAAGAGGAGGAAGAUGAGGAAGAUGAAGAGGAUGAGGAGGAAGAAGAAGAUGAAGAGGAUGAGGAGGAAGAAGAUGAUGAUGAUGACGAAUAAGUUGGUUCUAGCGCAGUUUUUUUUUUUUUUUCUUGGCUAUAAAGCAUUUAACCCCCCUGUACACAACUCACUCCUUUUAAAGAAAAAAAAUUGAAAUGUAAGGCUGGGUAAGAUUUGCUUUUAAACUGUACAGUGUCUUUUUUUGUAUAGUUAACACACUACUGAAUGUGUCUUUAGAUAGCCCUGUCCUGGUGGUAUUUUCAAUAGCCACUAACCUUGCCUGGUACAGUAUGGGGGUUGUAAAUUGGCAUGGAAAUUGAAAGCAGGUUCUUGUUGGUGCACAGCACAAAUUAGUUAUAUAUGGGGAUGGUAGUUUUUUCAUCUUCAGUUGUCUGAUGCAGCUUCUACGAAUAAUUGUUGUUCUGUUAACUGAAUACCACUCUGUAAUUGCAAAAAAA